GUUUUUUGUAAAACAAUUAAGGUAAUUACUUGACGAUUUACUUGGUAUCUCCGAUCCUUUUCAAAUUUCCAUAUAUUGAAAAGCUUCUUAAAAAUUAAAAUAUUAUUUAAAAAAAGUACCACAAACAAUUCUAAUUUUUGUUAUUUCAUAGAUACACAAAAUUUUGCCCAACACUGCCUACCAAUAACAGCAGCAGCGCGAUUAUCGGAUUUUCUAAAUCUAUGACCUAAGUUCAUUUAUUACGGAGUUGUCUGGCAACUUUCCCAUAAGCGUUGACUUGUUGAAACGAAACUAUUUUUCCUACGAUCUUUGUGACUGCAUUUAAUUCAUCUACAAUAUUUCAUCAUUUUUCAAUAUGUUAGUUCAUAUGUUCAUUAUUACACAUAUAAUACAUAUAUUACAGUACUUUGAUUACAGAAGGAGAAGCAACUAAAAACUAUUAACGGACCUCAGAAGCAAGGUCAAACUAGUUUAUAAUAUAUAAUAGAAAUAGAAUACCAUUUUUAUGAGUAUAUAUUAUAUGUAUUACUUAACGCUUUCACUAUCACUGUUUAAGGAAAAAGUCACUGUUCACAGCUCAACAUUCAAAAUUUUAAAAUUUUACAUAAUGUGACAUAUAUUUUUACAUAUAUAGUAAUAAAAGCUGCUAAAUAGACAACGCGAUUCUUAGAAUCGCACACCUAUGUGUAACGCUGAGCUGUGAGUAGAUUGCUUCUUACUGUAAACCACUUGUCACACAUAUCUAGAUAUGUAAAAUAUUGUAUUGUUACCUAUUUAACGCACACGAUGCUACUGAGACAAAGUCAAUAUACGAGUUCGACGACGGGCUCAACAAGGACGAAAACCUCCAUGUUUACAUAUUUCUGUCGACCGUUCGAGCGAUUUACGAAUGUUGUGUUACAGUUCUCAUGUUAGACGUGUGGCUAUUUGCACAAAAUCUGAUAUUCUAUGUGUUCCAAACAACUUUAUGUACAAUCUUUGUCAAUCGAGAAGAAAAAUUUAAAAUAAGUGAAACAAUAUGUUGCAAUGUCAGAUUAGUGAUAAUUUGACGUUGUUUAUAAUAAAUGGAAAUGGUAUCUCAAACGAAAAUAAAUAAGAUUUAUCCUAAAGAAAACUGAAACACAACAUACGUAACAUACGGUCAGGAACGAGAAUAUUGGCACACUGUUAAAGAGUGAAUAACCUUUUUUAAAUUGGAUCAAACGACUCGAGCCUUUUUGAGAAGCUAGGAGGAUUGGUUUACUAGAUAAUGUGGCAAAAGAUUUUUGAAAAAACUGCAGUUGAUCGGAAUCGCAAAGGAAAUAGUGAAGGUUGUAUGGAAGAGUUCAACAGCUGCGAUGAUGGAAAUUUGGUGGAUGUGGGGAAUGUAAGUUUGGAGGAGAUUAGAAAAGAUGAGUUAUGAUAUUUAACGUCAUGGUGAAGAGUAUAAUGAAAUAUGGGGGAUAGAAAAAAGAAGAGAAGUGGAAGUAGUACAAGAAAGGCAUCUAAGAGCAGUAUUAGUGACUGGAAAGGUGCACACCUAUAGUAGGAUAUUUAGACAAGAAACGAAGACGGAGAAAAUACUUCUGUGGUCAGGAGAAAGGUACAUAAAGUAUGAAGAUAUGAAGAAGAGAUUAGAAGAUCAGAAAACUCACUACUUGAGGAGUGCAGAAGGGUCAUUGAUAGGAAGAAGUGAAAUAACAUGAGCCAUAGAAUGGCAAGAGAGAGAUUUAAAGGAAAAUAGGAACGAGCAGAUGGGAAACAGAAAUAAUCUUUCGUUUAUUACAUAUACAUAUCAGGUUACGCUACUCAAACGUCGAGCUCCGUGCUGUGUCGAAACGAACAACAUUAGAACCGAUGACGGUCUAUCAAUUAGGACGAAAGAAAGUAUAUACCUACGAGAGGAAGGGAAAGUCAAGAAGAUAAAGAUAACAAAGUUAGGUUCGGAUUAGGGAACGAGUGGAGGGUGAGUAAAUUCCCGAUGAGAAGAAGGAAUGCGAUAUAUGUGGGAAGGAGGAGGGAAUAGGAGAACACGUUAUAACGCAAUGUGAAUAUACAACAGUGGGUGAACGAACAGAGAUUCUUAUCGAAUAAGAGGCUAAUGGAAUAGGAUGGAUGAAGAAGGUGACGGAUAAAAGGGGAUGAGUAAAUGAAUUCCAACAGGGAACAGGAGUCUAUAGAACAUUUUGGUCAACAUUGAGUGAACAGUAUAAUAUGAUUCUAAGAUCCCUGUAGAUCAUUUUACUACACGCAGAUUAUAGAUUACAUCGCAGUAAGGGAAGACGACGUAAUGUUGAAAACAAGAAGCGUGUUAGGCGUUUGGAAUUCUUUUUAUUAUUGUUCAUCGUCGUCCUUAAUUACUUCGCUUCGUUGUAAUAAGUACUGAAAUAAAAUGUAUCAUUACGAUACAUUACAUUAUACUAUGGUAUAACCUACAAAAUGUGCUAAAUGUGCUCUAGACCUGUAUUACCGAUUGGUAUUCAAAUAUUGGAGAUAUAAAGAUGUUUACUGAUGCAAAAUGAAUGAGAUAUAAAAUGGAAUUAUGUAGGAUAUUUAGGAUGCAAUUACACGUAAUAAUAUGCAAGAGCGAUUCAAUGUAUCCCGGAAGGGAUUUGAAAUGAAAAAUAAGCGUAAUGUAAAAUGGAAAUAAGUAGAGUUUCCUUAUCCAGAACACAGCAUUUUCCAGUAACGAAUGACUUUCCCCUUUCAAAUAUGCACAUAUUUUAUUAUUGCCCGUACACAAUGUAUUCUUCCCUUUAUUCGAUCAAAUGGAUUUUGAUUAUAAGAACUUAGUACGAAAGCAAUAUCGUUUUAUCUGUCGAGACAAAAUACGACAUACUUAAAAACCUCGAAGCUGCCGUAGGUGCAACAGAAUUGGCAAAUGUGCAUGAUGCUGGGAAAAUUACAAUCGCGAAUAUUAAAAAACAAAAGCAUGAUACUGAUUUCAAUUAUUUGAAACACGCAGAUCCUCCGAGUGCUGGCAAUGAAGUUCCCUAUGUUAAAUGAAUUAUGCGACUUGGCAGGUAAAAAGUUAGUAAGAUAAUAUAAUAAACACAAUAAAAUAUAAUAAUGUGAAAUAUACUAAAUAUAAUAAAAGGAAAUAAGGAUCCAUAAAGAUUCAAUUGAUCCUAAUUCGUAUUUGAAUAAGUGAAAUUUCAUAUGAGAAAAAUAAUUGUUCCAUUAUCCAAAUAUUUCACAUGAUUCGAACAGUUUCGUCUUGCUGUUCGUUCGGAUAAGGAAGGUUCCUACUUUGUAAUUAUCACCAAAUGUCCAUCCAAUUUCAAAGUUUUAGUGGACCAGACGUUCAACACACUAAAUAAAUAUUACUACUACUACUACUACUAGUACUACUAUAUUACAGUACCUGAGUAAUAUUAAUUCUGAAAAGAAAUGGAUAGAUAUCUGGAAUACAAUUUUUUGAAUUUGUUAACUAUAGUCCGAUAACGAUUAAUAAAGAAAGCGUGAAACAAAUAAUUUCUUCGUAAUGUUUCUGUCGGCUGAACGUGAUAAAUAAUGAAUGAUUACUGAUAAAAAUUAUGUAUAUCAUUGUUUUUACAAUUAGUCAGUUGGUUAAUCUUUUGUUGCCAUAGUAUUACAAGAUUUAGACGUUUCUCCAACUGCAAUCAAUUACCAAACUGAAUGGGACAAGUAAUCCGUCCAGUUUAUUAAUUCCAGCAUUUGUUUGCAGUGAGUGUUGCACGAUUCGAUAAGUAGAAGAUAAGAAACGUCAAAGAGAAAUCUUUUAUCCUUUCAAAGUCACCUUCAAAUUCUUCGAACAGAAUUCUUAAUUUCGUAUAUUCCCAAUAACUUUUCCCUCAUUUCCAACGAUUUCGUAUUUACUUUAAAUUUCCUAUUGGAACAAAACUCGCUUAUUUUCCAAUGCAGUAUUUUUCGAAAGAUCACAUUCGCGAUUUUUUUUCUACCCUAAUUGCGGCAGAGUAUUGUCAUUUCCUGUAUAUGUCAAUUAUAUCUAAUCACACAUUUAUGACAUACUAAGCUUGUAAUGGGCGAAAGUCUAACGCAAGAAAAAUAAUAAAAUACAGAAAAAGAAAAAAAAGGAGAAAUUUUA